rnacentral:lncRNA from 1 species
AUGACCUUCUCUCCCCAGGACUCAGUCAUCAUUCUCUGCUUUAAAACUUGGCUGCCAUGGAGACAGAAUCAACUCUCACCCUGGGAAAGACACCUUCCUGGGCAGCGGAGGAACAGAUCAGGGAGUGGACAGUGUGACGAAGUCAGCAGUGAGGAGGAGAUUUGGGACUCGGAACCCCAAGYGAGCGGAGGCUCCUGGUCACAGCUGUGGUGGCAGCGCCCGUGUUCGAGCAGGGGUCAAGGCUUCAGGCACAGGCUGGUGCCUAGCAAAAACCAUCGCCUGUCUGCAGGCUGCUCGCCUCCCCUCUGUGAGGCCCAUGGACCACAGGCACCAAGCACAAAGGUCUGGACCACUGCGGGAGGCAGUAUAAAGGACCAGCAGUGUUGCCUGGCACUGGCACGACAUUCGCUGAGGGUCAUAGCACCCGUCCUCUCUUCUGGCUAAACCUCUGUCGUAUGACUCAACAGCAUGAGUCACRAGUUACUUUCUGAAACAGGCUAACCAUUCUUAUCCUUCUCAGGGUAUUUAAUUUGGAUCAUAAUACUCUAUUAUCAACUUUGCAAGCUACAAGUACAAAGUGGUUGGUUAGCAUUUCACUGUCUGCACACAUCUAUUUACCUAAUAAAAACUACACAACAUUGCUAAAAAUAAUUCA